rnacentral:rRNA from 1 species
CCUACGGGGGGCAGCAGUGGGGAAUAUUGGACAAUGGGCGAAAGCCUGAUCCAGCCAUGCCGCGUGUGUGAAGAAGGCCUUCGGGUUGUAAAGCACUUUCAGUGGGGAAGAAAGCCUUGGGGCUAAUACCCUCGAGGAAGGACAUCACCCACAGAAGAAGCACCGGCUAACUCCGUGCCAGCAGCCGCGGUAAUACGGAGGGUGCGAGCGUUAAUCGGAAUUACUGGGCGUAAAGCGCGCGUAGGUGGUCUGAUAAGCCGGUUGUGAAAGCCCCGGGCUCAACCUGGGAACGGCAUCCGGAACUGUCAGGCUAGAGUGCAGGAGAGGAAGGUAGAAUUCCCGGUGUAGCGGUGAAAUGCGUAGAGAUCGGGAGGAAUACCAGUGGCGAAGGCGGCCUUCUGGACUGACACUGACGCUGAGGUGCGAAAGCGUGGGUAGCAAACAGGAUUAGAUACCCCGGUAGUC